rnacentral:rRNA from 1 species
UACACUGACUUCGACCUGAGAUCAGACGAGAUUACUCGCUGAAUUUAA